CCUCUCUCUCUCUCUUUCUCUGUAUCUCACUUUCUCUCUCCUUUUUUCUCUAUCAUCUCUUUUCCUGAAAAAUCUAACUUUGCCAAGGUAUCCAUUUAUGUAAUUAUAACACCAUGUUCAUGAGUUUGAGGCAGCAUAUAUUUUAAUGCCCCAGACGGGGUGGUGGGCAGAACGGAGCAUUCUUAGCUGAGUCUGCAGACGGGGUUCGGUCUCAGAUGGGCCUCUCGUAUCUAUGCUGGUUAAUGACGACGCAACCACAGCAGUCAGGUUCAGUUUGAAUCAGAUUUGCCUUGGGCAUAGAGGUCUCUUGUAGGGGGGCGGGGGGGGGGUUGCAUCCCACCCAAUAUUUAAAACAGUGGUGUUUUUCCCACCCAGUAUUGUCCAGGAUUUAGCUUUAAGAAAUAUGAAUACAUUUGUCAGGAGAAUUCAGUUCUCAUCUAACCUACUGGCCGAGGGGGGGGAAAAAACUUUUUGCCGACGGUGCGAUGAAUUCAGUUGCAUACGCAUAAACGUCUCUGUUGUUAUGGCAACGUUUUAUUAAUGACCCAGAGCAAGUGGUGUUGAGAGGGAUUGUGGGAUAGUGACAUCUUUCCAUGCACGAGUUUCCCGUCACGGAUAAAGGGAAGGGGAGAACAAUACAAAAGAGGAAGAUGACGGAUUAUUUUAUAGGAGAAACACUCGUGCUCGCAAAUUUCAAAUGUCCUAAAGCUUUUAUCAGUAGACCAUGUUUUAUCGAUUCUAUAGGUGGCACUCUUGAAUCUCAGGCUGAUUUAGAGUAGUCAACUUGACGUGUGGAGAAGCCUAUGUUCUUGGCUAAAUUAGUGAGCAAUUAAAAUUUCUUUUUUUACUUCAUGAGCAACAAGGAGUACUCAGUAGUCAGACUAACAUGAACUCAAUAUACCAUAGAGAGCUGCAGACUAAAUGCUUCAGGAGCAGCCAAGCAUCAGCAUAAUGGUCAGCACAUUCUGUCCCCUCACCUGUUUUUUUUAUGGUAGGCCUGCACCACAAUAUAUUACAUUUCCCUAAUCUUUAAAAUUCGAAGAGAAUAGAAUUAUAAUCCAUUUGUUGUGCAGUUGUGAUCUGCAAUUUAUAGAUAUUUUUCUUGAAAUCUGAGCAUGAAAUCUAAACCAGAGUAUCACAGUGUCGUGUGUGCCUGGACCCUGUUCCAUUUUCAUGAAUAGAGCAUAACGCACAGAACAAACACAGAACACAAAACCCUCCCAAAGUUCUCACUUCUGGAGUGAUGGAUCUGUGAUUGAUUGACCAAUAUCCUGAGCUGCAAAAAGUCUUUCAAAUAAAACCCAGGCCUGCAUUUGUACUAUGUUUUCAUGAAAAUAAUAGUGUAAUUAUAACAUUUUAAUAAAAAGGAAUUUGCCUAAGGUCUAGUUCUGUCCUGAAUGGGGAUCUGUUUUUAUGUCAGGGGAAACACCAUUGCCUAUUAGACAGCACUAGGCUAUGAUAUUUAUAUAUGUAAUGAUUUGGUGUCAACAAGUGGACUUGAAAUAAAACCUUCUGCCCAGAUGCCAUGGUAGCUAUAUUGUAGACAAUUAUUUUCAUUUAAAUGUAUACACUUCUGUACAUACCUUUGCAAUCACCCUUUAGCAUAUAGACUCACAAAUAUACAUGUAACAUGCAACAUACAGAAAUACUCGACCACAAGCAACCCCCCCCCCCCUCGUCCCCAACUCUCCCAAAAGCCUAAAGGGCAGCCUAUAUACGUAGGUAAAAUAUAUGAGGUCAUACAGGAUAAUGCGAGAGGAC
ensembl:lncRNA